CGGCUUUUGGUUUGGGGACGUACAUCUACCUGUGCUUUUGUGUGUCCGUGUCUUUGCGUGGUUGUUUUGAGCCUGUGUCCAUGUUUGGCUGUGGGUGUCGAUGGGCGCAUCGUUGUGUGUCCGCGUACGUGGUCUGUGCCUGUCGACGUGUCUGGAUUGGAUGUCUGUGGAGUAUGUGCGCGCCGAGACGCCGCCCCAACUCCUCGCUCCCCUUCUGUCCACCCGGGCCGCCCACUUGGCUCCAAACUUUUCUCCGGGUUCCUCCGGCAACAGCCCCUACCUCCCCACUGCAGCCAGGCGGGAGGCGCGGGCAGCCCUCCCUUCUCUUGUACCUCCCGAGGUCCUUGGGCCGCUAGAGGAUGCGAUGCGAUAGGAUUGUGGGUCUGGGGACUGGCCGUGGCCAGGGCUGGGCGGAGCGUGGGGACACCUCCGCCGACCCCGAGUAGGAGGGGGAGGGAAGUGGCUGGUCCUGAGGUCUGGUCCGGGGCUGGAGAGGAGGGGACAGAAGUGGGGAGGGCGGUGGCUUUGCUCUCCCAGCGCUUCUUGGAAGGAGAGUGUGUGACCCAGAGAGAAGUGUCUGCUUGGCUGAGAGAUCAGCUCCAGCUUCUGACUCCAUUUGCAUCCAGCCCCUGGGGUAGGGAGACCAGCCCUCAGAUCUGGUAGGUGAGAAAGCAACGGCUAGUCCAGAUCUGGGCCUGCCAGCGACGCCAACUCGAAGGACGCCCAACUGGACUGCAGGGAGUGGGACCUCGCACACACUAGGUUCAAAUGGGGUGGCCACCCGCCCACUGCCUGGCCCUGGCAAGUUGCUCAGGAUUGUUAAGUGGGGAUCACCCUGUCACGGAUGGGGUGAGAAUGCCCUUGCUUCAAGGAACGUGCGGUAGGGACAGACAGCACUGCGAGAGCAGGGCGGAGAGCGGCGCCCGCCCACACUUGGCCUGGCGAGGAGGUGACUCAGGAGCUUCUUCCAUCCUUCCUUCCUAGCUUUUGGAUAAGUCUAGACUUGCAGAGCUGGGGACUGACACGGGAGGGAGGACUCAAGAGGGAGCGUUCUGAGCGGCUGGAGCCUACUGGGGUUUUGAGCCUGGGUGGCAAGAUGUAAAGAUAAGCCUAAAUACUUCCUCUUCACCUCCCUUCCCAUUUUUGUUUUAAAGCUUUGCUCUGCCAGUCUAGGCUGGAAUGCAAUGGCACAAUUAUUGUUCACUGAAAAAUUGAACUUCUGGCCUCCAGCGAUUCUCCCACCUAAGCCUCCUGAGUAUCACACCAAUCUUUAAACUAGAACUUUGCCAGAUGCUGCAGACACCAGGGAGGGGCACAGGAGCCACUAAUCUGGAAAGGAGGCAGCCAUGGGCACUUUAUUUCUCUCCAGCCUCAGUUUCCCUUCUAGACUGGUCACUAUUGACAGCCCAUCUAGUUCCUUCCUCUUCUGGCUGGGUCACUUUGAUGUUUAACAAAAUCCAUCCUGACUUGACCAAGUCCUAGACACUAAUUUGCUUCAGUAAGGGAAGGCUGGGGAGUCCACAGGGCUCCCACCUACCUUUCUCCAACACCAGGCUGAAAGACAAAAGCUGAUGAGUGAGUCAAAAGUGUAGAGAAGGGAACAGAUCGACGUUUUUCCCCCUUAUCUUCUAAAUGACAGAUUGUGGGUGAGUAGAGCCUAGGUUAAUUUUCUUCCUAAUCAUAACUUCUGAUUCUAAGCAAGAGACAUGCUUGAAAGUUCCAUUCAUCCUUUCUCAGGACAAGCCUGGUCUGGGCACUGAGGAUAAUUCCUGAGAUGGGCUAGGGCCCCACCACAAGCCCCCUGGCCCUGGCCAAGCAAAUUCUAAGAGAGGGGCCUGACAGAGAACGUUACUUUUAUUCGGGGUUUUGAGAUCAGUGAGUACACAGGGGAACCGGAAGAGUCUCCCACAGAGGGAGCAGCAUGUGUAAGAUCUGUCAUGAAAACAGCACAGGUAUUCAGCAUCGUGAAUUGUCAGGUACAAAGUCUUGAGGGUGGGGAAUGGAAUUGAACUUGAGGCUUGAGAGGGAAGCCAGGGGCCAUAUCAUCAAGGUUUUGAAUGCCAGGCCUAGGAGCUGGGAUUUGAACUUGUACUCAGUUAAGAGCUGCUGAAAGUUUUAAACAGGCACAGGAGGGUGGGGUGGGUAAAUUCUAAGAAACCCUUCUCUGCUUACUGGUGGGGCUAAAGCCUGGGAGGUCAAUCUGGGGGCUGAGUGUUCAGCCUCUUAGAGUAGAAGGACCUAGAUUAUACUCCCACUCCAUUGCUUCCUACCUCUGGGGCAUGGGGCAAGUAACUUUACCUCUCAGAUUCUCGGUCUACUCAUCCUUGAAAUGAGGAUAUCAGUUCCUGCUCUACUGUUCUGUUGUGAAAAGGACAAUUAAUUACAUGUGCUAAUAAAUGAGAAGGGGUUUGUAGUGUGUAUUACAUUGUGUAGAUGUUUGUUGGAUUGUACUGACACUAGAAGGCAGAGACAGCAUCUACUCUGGCCCUAAAUCUCAUUUCAUUACCUGGCAAAGCCCUAAGGGUCCUAUAAGGUUGGCCAAUUGUUAUGCUGUCGCUGAAACAGAAGGAAACAUUUCAGUCAUCUCAUCUAUCACCCUUCACAUGGCCAGGUCUUGUACAGGCAAGGAGCUAGGCACAGAUUUGCAGAUGGCCACAGUCCGCAAAGUUGGUUGGUACUGUGACAGGGGCAGCUCAGGGACCAUGGGAACCCAGAGGGAGGGAAACCCUUUGCUGAAAGAGGGGCAGGUUACACUGGGAAAACCUCACAGAGGAAGUGGCUUUUGAAUCAAAUGAGUGAGUUUGCAUGGUAGACAAAGAAAAGAAGGGCAUUUUUGUCAUCUUUAGAGGGAACUGCCCAUGCAAAGACAGGUUGCUCUAGGAGAGUGAUCGGCCUCUAGACUGGAAAGCUGUCUUUGUGGAAUGAGUUUUAAAGAGGGAGCAUCCCAGUCUUCUCUUGGGAAGACUGCAUGGCUAGCAGCUAGAGGCAGGGGCCAGAGUGAGGGUGUCAAAGCAGGCCUCCUAAACCCAUUGGCUGGGUGAGGUGACUGCUCAGCUUGGGGAUGAGGAGGAGGGAAGCCAGUAACCACACCUGUCCAAGGAGAGCUGCUAAUUUGACACCAAGCCCUCAUUCUGUUAUAGACAACACAACUGCCUCAGCCUACUUUGGCCUCUGUAAGCUUUGGUGAUCUCCUUCCCAAUUCCCUAGGAGGUGGUCCUGGUCAGCACCUGGGAAUCGAUUGAGACCUGGGAUGGUGCCUUGUGAAGGAAUCUAAGGCCUCUGGGGAUGAAUUGUAGGUUCUUCUCCAUCUUCUGCCCCUGCCUUGCCUUGGGAUCUGCUGGUGUCACUGUACCUUUUCUUCCCUCAUCCAUUAGGGAGGAGAAACCAACAUUCAGUGAGCCAGCAUGUGCCAGGUCCAGGGCUGAGUCUUCACUUUCCUCAUGUAAUCAUCACAGUGAUCCACUAGGAACAAGCUAGGAUUAUUGCCAUGGAACAGAUGGAGACUUGGACUUGGGGGUGAGGGCACACUUAAGCCUCACAGUGGUUGAGGCCCUAUAGGAUUGGAGACCAUUCUGGCCGGCUACAAAACCCUUUCCUCUGUCCCAUACCUCCUCUCCAUGUAUCCAUCCAUGCUACCUCAAAUUUAUGGGAACUUGAAAAUCUUCAGGAAUAAGUUAUCUUGGAAGGAGCAAACAGUAUUGGGGUCUCCCUAUAGAUCAUCCUCCCCUGGUGAAGUUUGCAUCCUCCCACCUACACCAGGGAUCGUGUCAUGGAGAAGACCGGCUCUGGGUGUCAGAAUACCUGAGUCCAGUCCUUGUCCUCACUGGCUGUAUGACUGGACAGAUCAGUGAACUUCUCUGGGCUUCUUUACACAGCUGUAAUGUAGAUUUGAUGCCAUCUAACCUGCUGAUCUUGCAGGAUGACUGAAUAGAUUAAAGAAUAGUUGGGGAAACAUGGGAAGGGUUGAGAAGUAUCCUUUGGUGGGGGGGUGGCUGUAUUCCAAAUGUUUGCUGUAUCUUCAUAGCCCCUGCUCUGCGCCAGGCCCAGUGCUCAGCUAACCAAGAGCAUAAAAAUGAAUCUAACUUCAUCCCCACUCACAGAAGGACGGGCAGCCCUCACCAUGCCGUGGUCCCUGCUGCUAUUGCUGUUCGUGAGUGGAGCACAGACAACCCGGCCAUGCUUCCCCGGGUGCCAGUGUGAGGUGGAGACCUUCGGCCUCUUCGACAGCUUCAGCCUGACUCGGGUGGAUUGCAGCGGCCUCGGCCCCCACAUUGUGCCAGUGUCUAUCCCUCUGGACACAGCCCACCUGGACCUGUCCUCCAACCGGCUGGAGACAGUGAAUGAGUCAGUGUUGGCAGGGCCAGGCUACACCACCCUGGCUGGCCUGGAUCUCAGCCACAACCUGCUGACCAGCAUCUCACCCACCACCUUCUCCCGCCUGCGCUACCUGGAGUCGCUCGACCUCAGCCACAAUGGCUUGGCGGCCCUGCCAGCCAACAGCUUCACCAGUUCACCCCUGAGUGACGUGAACCUUAGCCACAACCGGCUCCGGGAGGUCGCAGUGUCCACCUUCACUACCUACAACCAGGGCCGGACACUGCAUGUGGACCUCUCCCACAACCUUAUUCACCAUCUCGUGCCUCACUUGGCUCAGGCUGCUCUGCCCUCCCCUUCCAUUCAGAGCCUGAACCUGGCCUGGAACCAGCUCCGCACUGUGCCCGACUUCCGAGACUUGCCCCUGCGUUACCUGAGCCUAGAUGGGAAUCCCCUGGCUGCCAUCGGCCCAGGUGCCUUCAUGGGGCUGGCAGGCCUUACUCACCUGUCGCUGGCCAGCCUGCAAAGGCUCCCCCAGCUGGCGCCCUAUAGCUUUCGUGAGCUACGGGGCCUGCAAGUCCUGGACCUAUCUGGCAACCCCAAGCUCAAGUGGGCCGGAACUGAGGUGUUCUCAGGCCUGGGCUCCCUGCAGGAGCUGGACCUUUCAGGCACUGGCUUGGUACCCGUGCCUGAGAUGCUGCUCCUCCAUCUCCCAGCAUUGCAGAGCGUCACUGUGGGCCAGGAUGUGCAGUGCCGGCGCCUGGUAAGGGAGGGCAUCUACCCCCGGCAGCCUGGCUCCAGCCCCAAGGUGGCUCUGCACUGUAUAGAUACCCGGGAAUCUGCUGCCAGGAGCCCCGAUAUCUUGUGACGAAUGUUGUGGCCCAGGGCCGCAUGACAGACUGCUGCCUGGGCUUGCUCAAGUCCCAAGUAACUUAUAUUUUAAUAUGCCAGUGCCAGUGGGGAAUCUGCAGGUCUGUGUGGCGGCGUCACUGCAGGCAGGAGCUGUGGACCUAGGAGAGGCUUUGGACCUGGGACCAACACCUAGGAGCAAAGUCUUCCCCUUUGUCUUUAUUGGCCCCCCAACCAUGAGCAAAGGAACUCUGAUGCCAAACCAGACUCUGGUACCUCCCUGCUGCUCUUCCCCACUUUUCCCUCAAGUGCCUUCCCUCAUGCCUGGCCCGACCUGACCCACAGCAGGAAGAAGAACAGGACAACGGAGAAACUCGGAAGGAGGAUGGGUGCAAAGCCAUCACACUGCGGGCUCAUACUUCCUGGUGCGGGGCAGUACCUGCAACUCCCCAGUCCUGCUGCCUUAUGGAGAUCCAAAGUCCCGCGGAGUAGUGGCCCCUGCCCACUGGGGCGUUCGCACUUCCUCUCUGUCGGGGACGGAGGUUUCCGGCCUGCAGCGCCACCUCGUGGUCACUCGUGGCUUGCGCCUGGAGCAAGGCCCAGGGCCCUUCUCCUCUACCCAGCAGAUCGCCCUUAUCCUGCCAGACUCUGCCCUCCAGGAAUCCUGGCACCUAGAAUAAGGGAGUUAGAAUCUCACAAAACCACAAAUUCGUGCAAAGAUUCCGUUUUGGAAUUCACAGAAAAGAGUUGAAGUCUUGGGUCCAUCACAAACCAAUUGUGGGACUUCAGCCAAGUUGCUUUGCCUCUCGAGCCUGGAAAAUAAGGAUGCAAAUAUGUCCCCCAACAGGAUAGUAUAAAAAAGAAAUGAAAUAGCAUUAUAGAGAACCAAGUACAGUGCCUGGCACAAAAUAAACACCCCAUAAAUGCCCUUUCCCUCCAUUUAAUCACAGAAUUAUGUAGUUGACCAUAUUUGGUAAUUCAUCAGAAGAAUUUCCUAAAUGUUUAGGAUUAUAGACUCACAGAACAAUAGUCUUCAAUAUUAGGCUUCAUGCUUGUUCAAUGGCAAGCUCUUAUGUGCCUAAUGUGGAAUAGGCAUUCAGCCAUGCCAGUUGACUUGUAGAGAGGAGGAAACAAGUGAGGCCUGGUUUGCCAUCAUGGUCAGGCAGGGUCACAAACACGUCCUGGCAUUUCAUGGAGACGCACUGCCAUUUACUGAGCAUGUGCCAUUACUCAUGCUUUGGGCACGUGCCGUCCUUUCCUCCUCACAACUGCACCAGGUGUUUUUGUCACUAUAUAGAUGAGAAAAUCUUCCUAUGCCAGAUGGCAGUUCCCUUAUUCUUGCCUGUCCUAUCUCAGGGGCCAGGCCAGCUGUGUAGAUCCCACGAAUCAGAGAGGGUAGAGGAAUUCCGAGAAACCAGAGAACACUGGGAUUGCAUUAAUUUUUCUGUUUUAAAUUAAUUGAGGAGGUAUGCUGCUCUAAAUACGUGGUAUCUCCAAUCAGACCAUUCAUUCUAAAUCCUAGAAUAUAAAAAGCCAAAGGCCAAAGUCCAAAGUCAAAGUCCUUUCUCUCUUGUCCCCUUUUCAUAGAUGCUGAGAUUAAGACCCAGAGAGGAGCAGCCCAAGUUCCCAGGGCAAGUGGUCAGAACUGUGCUGCAUAAUUUACAGGGCCUGGUGCAAAGUGAAAAUGUGGGGCCCUCUUUUCAAAAAAUAUUAAGAACUUAAAAGUGGUAAGAACAGGGUGUUGCCUGUGGCUCAGUGGGUAGGGUGCCGACCCCAUGUACCAAGGGUGACGGGUUUGAACCCAGCCCUGGCCAGCUAAAACAGCAGUGGCAACUGCAACAAAAAUAGCCAGGCAUUGUGGCAGGCACCUGUAGUCCCAGGUACUUGGGAGGUUGAGGUAAAACAAUCGCCCUAGCCCAAGAGCUGGAGGUUGCUGUGAGCUAUGAUGUCACAGCACUCUCCUGAGGGUGAUAAAGUGAGACUCUGUCUCAAAAACAAAAAACAAACAAACAAACAAAGUGAUAAAAACAGAGCACUAAACCAAGCACAGUGUCAUUCUAAGGUCAUUUGCUGCCCAUGAAGCCAGCCCUGCUGUGAUUUGGUCAUCCCAUCUAUACAGAAAGAAGAGGUGAACACCUAGGCAGUGCCAGUCAAAUGCAGGAAUUUCCCUCUAUGGUUAUCACAUGACCCCUGGUUUCCCCAAAUUGCCACGGCCAAAGGACUUUCAGAGGGAAAGAGCCAAUGAGAGGCAGAUACAACUCAUAGAACAUUUCUCUAGACAAGGACUGCCAGGAAUAUGGGGCAGAGACCCACCCUCUGCUUACUUCAUGUAUUUAUAGACUUAAAAGUCCACAGUACUAAAGUCCACUCAUAUCUAAUGUCCACCAAGGGCAAUGUCUAUAACAACAGAGGUCACCAGAGGCUAAUAUGGCCUUGCCCAUCAAUAUUCAGUGUCCCUUGUUGGCUAAUGCAAAUGUUCAUCUAUAGCUGAUGUUUCUCAUAGGAAUGAUAGCCUCCAUUAAUGGAAAAUAUUCACAAAUGAAAAAUGGCCACUGGUGGGGAUGUCCACAGUCUAUCAAUGCCCAGUGUUCACUGAGAGCUAAUUGGAAUUGUAAGUGCUCUGCACAUCAAUACACAAUACCCAAUGUUAGUCCAUAGCUCAACUUCCAUCAGCAGCAAAUUUCCAUCCAGUUAAGUGACAUCCUUGUGUUUAUUCUUCUCUUUUAUUUACUUAUCAUCUUUUAUAUGUUUAAGUAUGAGUAGUUGUGUCUACGGGGAUUAUCAUGUUUAUUGAGCUUUGAGGGAAAUUCCUUCUGUGUUUCUUUAUUCCCAACGCUAUUUAUUCUUUUAUUUUGCAUACCCAUUACAUAGUUGAAAUGUUCUGAAUUGAGAGUACAAACGUACAUUUAAGUUUCUUGAUAUAUACACACAUAUAUAACAUGUAUUAUAUAAGUAUUAUAUACAUAAUACAAGAAGCCAUAGAAAAAGAGAAACUAGUUGAUAAUAUAAAUAUCAACAACCUAGGAACAAGUUUUUUUUUUUUUUGAGACAGAGCCUCAAGCUGUCACCCUGGGUAGAGUGCUGUGGCAUCACAGCUCACAGCAACCUCCAACUCCUGGGCUCAAGUGAUUCUCCUGCCUCCGCCUCCCAAGUAGCUGGGACUACAGGCGCCUGCCACAACGCCCGGCUAUUUUUUGGUUGCAGUUGUCAUUGUUGUUUGCCGGGCCCGGGCUGGAUUCAAACCUGCCAGCUCAGGUAUAUGUGGCUGGCGCCUUAGCCACUUGAGCCACAGGCGCCAAGCCGGAACAAUGUUUUAAUUAGUUGAUUCUUAGAAGCAAUAACUUUUCCAAAAGUAAGUAAUGAAUUGAGACAUCAACUCUCCUGCUCAGGCAAGGAAGGUCAAAGAGCCUAUGUUUUACUGGGAAAAAGGCACCAUAUUUUCUAAUCAGAUUAAGGCUCCCAUGCAGGGGCUUCUUUAGACAGCAAAACUGGUCCUCAGGGCACAAGCCUCAAGUGGAGGCUGCCUGGGCUCAAAGCCGGACACUGCCCUGGGCAGCUAAAUGUUUUGGAGUAAACACUCGGCCUCUCUUUCAGCCCCAACUCACUUCUAUAAAAUGGAGAUACUGUGGGCACUUUGCAAGGCUACUGUGGGGAAUGAAUCAACAGACAUAAAACCCUUAGAACAGUGUCUGGCGUAUAAGUGCUAUGUAUGUGAAAUAUUAUUUACCUUUAUUUUGAAACAAUUUUUUAUGUCAAAUUUACAAGCCUGCCAUGGUUCAAAAUAUUCUCAGGCAGGGUUUCUUCAGAGGCCAUCAGCUCCCAGAGGGUUAUAUCCAGGAAGUCAGUUAUGCUUAGGAAUUGGAAAAGAAGUUCUGCCCUCUGCCUUAGAAUAUUUUGAAACUACCCAGCCACACAGCUUCCUUCUGGCCCAAUGCUCUUAAAGACACAGUGCUUAAGAAAUAUUCUCAUACCCCUUUCCUGAGACAUGUUUGCCACCAUGUCCCCAGGCCUGGCAGUCACAAAUGGAGUGGUUGACCUGUUGUGAUUUGAGACAGUAAGGUAAAACCUUCAAUUCAUCUUGCUCUUCCUAACAGCCUCACCCUCUGCCUGAAAUUCCACAUUGCUCAUUGGCUUAGGCUACGAUGGUGGUCCAACAUCCUUCCUAGAUGGGUAAGGACUCAGGAUACCAAGAGUAUGAUUGGAGGAUGGAGAUGACAUGUCUGGAUUAGUGAGGCAUUAACUAGCUAAUGGGAUGCAAACAGUACCUCAGCAUGUUCUUAAAAUGUGUUAUGCCCUAAAAAAUAUUUUUAAGGUAAUAAAUAUGUCAAUAUAGUAGUUGUUAAGAUUAUGCUAGAGGCAAUACUGUGAGGUCCAUAAAGAGGAAUCAGGCCUUUUGUACAUGCCACUUUCUGUACCAACUGGUGUGAGGUCCUUUUACAGCAGAGGCCCCAAUGAAGCAGGCCUUCUAGCAUUCACAUGCGUGUGUUCCCACUGCUCUUGAACCUGGGCUGGGCCUGUGAUUUUAAUCAGCACAAUGCAGAAGUGGUUCUGUGCCAGUUCCAGACCUAAGUCUCAAGAAGGCCUGGCCACUUUUGCUUUGCAAUUUUGAGAGCUCUGAGCUGCCACUACAAAGUCUGGUGAGACCAUGUGGAGGAGCCCUAAGACUACAUGAAGAGAAGAAAAGCUCAACCAUCCAGAUAUCCCCUCAGAUCUCAGAGUCUGGCCUGCUCACCAGCUUCAGGCUCACGAGUGACCACCACCAAACCAGCAGAACCAACCAGCUGAUCCCAGCCUCAAUUUCAGAAUUGUGAGCAAACAAACUGGUUGUUAUUAGCCAUCAUGCUUUAGAGUGCUUUCUCAUACAGCAAUAAAUAACUAAUGCAACCAA